rnacentral:rRNA from 1 species
AGAAUGUUAUCACGGGAGACACACGGCGGGUGCUAACGUCCGUCGUGAAGAGGGAAACAACCCAGACCGCCAGCUAAGGUCCCAAAGUCAUGGUUAAGUGGGAAACGAUGUGGGAAGGCCCAGACAGCCAGGAUGUUGGCUUAGAAGCAGCCAUCAUUUAAAGAAAGCGUAAUAGCUCACUGGUCGAGUCGGCCUGCGCGGAAGAUGUAACGGGGCUAAACCAUGCACCGAAGCUGCGGCAGCGACACUAKGUGUUGUUGGGUAGGGGAGCGUUCUGUAAGCCUGYGAAGGUGGCCUGUGAGGGUUGCUGGAGGUAUCAGAAGUGCGAAUGCUGACAUAAGUAACGAUAAAGCGGGUGAAAAGCCCGCUCGCCGGAAGACCAAGGGUUCCUGUCCAACGUUAAUCGGGGCAGGGUGAGUCGACCCCUAAGGCGAGGCCGAAAGGCGUAGUCGAUGGGAAACGGGUUAAUAUUCCCGUACUUGGUGUUACUGCGAAGGGGG